AAGUAAAAGUCGUAACAAGGUUUCCGUAGGUGAACCUGCGGAAGGAUCAUUACCUAGAGUUGUGGGCUUUGCCUGCUAUCUCUUACCCAUGUCUUUUGAGUACUUACGUUUCCUCGGCGGGUCCGCCCGCCGACUGGACAAUUUAAACCCUUUGCAGUUGCAAUCAGCGUCUGAAAAACUUAAUAGUUACAACUUUCAACAACGGAUCUCUUGGUUCUGGCAUCGAUGAAGAACGCAGCGAAAUGCGAUAAGUAGUGUGAAUUGCAGAAUUCAGUGAAUCAUCGAAUCUUUGAACGCACAUUGCGCCCCUUGGUAUUCCAUGGGGCAUGCCUGUUCGAGCGUCAUUUGUACCUUCAAGCUUUGCUUGGUGUUGGGUGUUUGUCUCGCCUCUGCGUGUAGACUCGCCUUAAAACAAUUGGCAGCCGGCGUAUUGAUUUCGGAGCGCAGUACAUCUCGCGCUUUGCACUCAUAACGACGACGUCCAAAAGUACAUUUUUACACUCUUGACCUCGGAUCAGGUAGGGAUACCCGCUGAACUUAAG
rnacentral:rRNA from 1 species